rnacentral:rRNA from 1 species
AGAGCGAACGCUGGCGGCGUGCUUAACACAUGCAAGUCGAACGCGCAGCAUUCUGUAGCAAUACAGGGUGUGGGCGCGUGGCGAACGGGUGCGUAACACGUGGAUAACCUUCCUUGAGGUGGGGAAUAACCCAGUGAAAAUUGGGCUAAUACCGCAUAACAUCGCGAUGGCACAUGCUGAUGCGAUCAAAGGCGCAAGUCGCCACAAGAGGGAUCCGCGGCCGAUUAGCUUGUUGGCGAGGUAAUGGCUCACCAAGGCAAUGAUCGGUAGCCGGACUGAGAGGUUGGCCGGCCACACGUAGAC